AAUAAUGACGGGGAUAUUGAAUGUGAUGCAAUGAUAAUGGAUGGUAAUACUUUAGACACAGGUGCAGUAAUGGCUGCUCGAAACUCUAAAAAUCCUGUCGCCACUGCUCGACAGGUAAUGGAAAAAACCAUUCACAGCGCAAUAGCAGGAGACGGAGUUCUGGAUUUUGCUAUAAAAUGGAAUUUUGAAACAUGCACAAAUGA